UUCUUCAAUAAAUCAAUAAAUCAAACUGGAUCCCCCAUCCGACAAAAUAUUCGAUAUUAAAACCCUGCAGCUAAAGCCUCUCAUGGCCCUGUGAACCCUAGCAAUCCAGCAGAAUCAAAGAGGAGAUUGUUCUAUCAGCAAUGGCAUUCAGUACAAGUGCAAAGAAAUCCAUAUGGUUAGUAGUCAGCAAACUGAAUACUUUGGGGCAACCAAGUAGGGGUUAUUUCUCUCCUAUUUCUCCAAGACAGUUUGCAAACCAGAUUGUAUGGAACCAGGUGUUUAUGAGAAAGUUCAGUGCCGAAGUAUCAGCUACUGAUCAAAUAAAUCGCAUCAAACAACUGAGGGAGAGAACAAGUGCCCCAAUUAAGGAUGUCAAAAGUGCUCUUGUUAAUUGUAAUUGGGAUUUAGAGGCUGCGCAAAAGGAUCUCAGAAAGAGAGGAGUGGUGCUUGCUUCAAAGAAAUCUUCUCGGGCUGCAUCCGAAGGUUUGCUCUCACUAGCACAGAUGGAUAAAAAGGCUGUUGUAGUUGAGCUCAACUGCGAGACAGAUUUUGUAGCAAGGAAUGAUACAUUUCAGUACCUGGCUUCUGCUUUGGCAAGGGCUGCUUUAUCAAUAGAAAAUCCAACUCCACUAUCCCAGGAAGCUUUUGCUUUUGGACCUGAAUACUUGGAGAACAUGAAGAUUAAUUUGGAUCAUCCCAAACUAUCUGGAGAAACUACAGUCCAAACUGCAGUUACAGAAGUUGCUGCCAUGGUGGGAGAGAAUGUCAAGAUUAGAAGAGGUUAUGCAUUGUCGUCGACUUCAUAUGGUGCUGUUGUAUCUUAUCUUCACACAUGUCCCCAGCCAGGUUUGGGUCGUAUUGCUGGAUUGGUUACAUUGGAAGUGGAAGAUGGCAAUGCUUCACUUGAUGCUCUUCAGCGGGUCGGCUCAUCAUUGGCAAUGCACAUAGUGGCAUCAAAGCCUUUGUUUUUGUCCAAGGAACUUGUUCCUUCAGAGGCAUUAGAGAGUGAGCGUGACAUACUGAAAACACAGGCAGAAAGUUCAGGGAAGUCGCAGAUGGUCGUUGAGAAAAUGGUGGAAGGUCGUAUUAGGAAGUACUAUGAAGAAGUUGUUUUGUCGGAGCAAAAGUAUUUCUUGGACGAUAGUAUUAGUGUGAAGGUAUAUCAGGCAUCUUUUAUUGCUUUUUUCUGUUUAGAAGCUUUAAAGGUUCAAGUGAGUUUUACUCGAGCCUUGCCCUAUUUGAAUGUUAUGACAGUUCAUAUUUUAUUAUUGACAACUUUGAAUGUCACUCUAAGAAUAGAGUGACCAGAUUUCAUUUUGAUUUUGAUGUCAUAUGCAGUCUCUGUUGAAUGAUUUAUCGAAGGAAGUUGGUUCCAGUGUUAGAAUCGGCAAAUUUCUCAGAAUGGAGGUUGGAGAAGGAAUCCAAAGGGCAGGAGCUUAGCAGCCCUUCACACUGUUGUUCAUGCUUCAUAAUCUUUAUCAGCAUUCUGAAUAACAUUAUUUCUCCGAAGUACUUGGAGCAAUAAACCCUGACAAUGACUUGACGUUUUCUUCUCCAUAUGAAGCAAACUUUUUUCCUACUGCAAUUUUUGUUGGAGAGCGACAGGAAAUAUCAAUUUCACCUAGUGAAGUAUUUAUUUUAUUUUUCGAUUCAAUCGAUGAAACUAUCAUUUAAUUUAUUUUUCUCAGACAUCUUUCGCUUGUUAUUGUAUCGUUUAUGAUGCGGUGGAAUUAAUCGAUGAAAACAUAGUAUUUUGAAACGGUUAUAGCUA